AACUCACUUAAACAGAACCUGUUGGACAAAGUGAAGUAGACUAAAAGGUCUCAGAAAACCAACACAACAUGCCAUGUUCUAAAGGAACUCAAGAACAGCUGAGAAACAAACUGACAUCUGUCAGUCCUGAAAGGGUUAUAAAGCCAUUUAUGAGACUUUGGGACUCCAGUGAACCACAGUAAAAGCCAUUAUCCACAAAUGGAGAGAACCUGGAACAUUGCAGAAUCUUCCCAGGAGUGGUCCACCUGCCAAAGUUACUCCAAAAGCGCAUCAACGACUCAUCCAGGAGGUUACAUAAGAACCCAGAAUAAAAUCUAAAGAACUGCAGGCCUCAGCUGUGUCACUUAAGGUCAGAGUUUGUGAUUCAACAAUAAAAAAAAGACUGGGCAAAAAUGGUAUCCAUGGGAGAGCAAGAAGAAAGCCACUGCUAACCACAAAGAACAUGACAACUUGUCUCACAUUUGCCAAAAAACAUCUUGAUGAUCACCAGGACUUGUGGGAAAAUAUUCUGAAGACAAAAAUUGAACUUUUUGGACGGUGUGAGUCCUGUUACAGCUGGUGUAAAACUUACACAGGAGUCUGGUGCUGCUUUGCUGCUUCAGGUUUUGAAGUGACUGAGUCAAAGUCUGGACUUAAAUCAGAUUGAAAUGCUUUGGCAUGAUGUUAAACAGGCUGUUCAUGUUCAAAAAUCCUCCAGUGUGACUGAAUUAAAACAAAUCUGCAAAGAAGAGUGGGCCAAAAUUCCUCCACAGCAAUGUGACAGACUCAUUGCUAGUUAUCACACACGGUUGAUUGCAGUUCUUACUGCUUCAUCCACUCUCUCUCUUUAAGACAACUUUCUUCUGAUUGGCAGCCUCCUUCAAGCAGAAGGUUUCAGCAGCAGAACCAGCCCUGGGCAUAAGCUAGCAGAGCAGCUGCUCUGAGCCCCCCCACACCAACAGGGGGUCCCCAAGAGAACAUGAAAUGUCACUCAAGAAAGAAACAUCGGGAAGACUGAAGUUCAUCGCAGGGAUCAAGCAGGACUCAUGAUCUUCACCAGCAGCUCCUCAGAGGGAAAUCUUCUUCUCCACCAUAAGGCGGUCCCAGAAGAUGGACAGAGGUCUAAAGGUCAUGUGCUUAAGAAAUAGGAAACAAAAUCCAGCAAUGACCUGAGAGAUGUAUUUGGUCAUUCAGCUCAUCCAUCCUACUGUUCACAAACGCCUCAUCAGGAAUUGUCUCAGUGGAAGGGUGGCUGUUAAGAAGCCAUCAUGAAUUACCAUCUGGAAAGAGUCACACAGUGGGACACUAUCAGUCUUAGACUGGUCUUCCCAGAGCCCGGAUCUUAACAUUAUUGAAGCAGUGUGGGAUCUUCUUCACAGAGAACACAACAAAAGGCAGACAACAUCCAAAGAAGGGCCUUUAAUGUUCAUCAAGCCCAGAGAACUAUUCCUAAAGACUACUUAAAGAAAGAAAGCUGCCUAUGAGAGUUCAGGCUGUGCUGAAGAAUAAAGGUGGUCAUGCUAAAUAUUCAGAUUCUUUGGAGUACCGUGAGUCUGAGACCCUGAGACUGAAUUGAAGUCAUGCACUACAGACAGUUAGAAAAUUAAAUUCUUUUAAAUAAAUUAUGCUGAGGUAUUAAUAGCUAAAAAUGCACUGUCUACAAGUAGUACUGGUCUUACUCAUCUGUGAAAUAAUGAGUUCAUUUCAGGUCUUUGAAAACACACACACACACAAAUGCACACGCAGUUACACAAUAGGGCUUUAUAAAAUAUGUAAAGUACACUUUCUCUUAAGAAUGGUAAAACUUUUAUUAGGAAAACUGCAGCCAAUAAGAAAAUGAACAGGAUAACAUAAAAAAACCCCCAAAGCUGUGUGGGGAGCUAGAAGCCACUUUAUGGUGUUUUCGAACUGCACGCAUAAUGAAUCCCAAACAGCUUGGACUGGAUUGUAAAACUGCUCCAUAAACCUCCAAACCACACAUUUAACUUGUACCACUGUACCACUGCAUAAAUGAUUUGUGAACCCUUUACUGAGAUUUCUGCUCUGACGUCUUGUAAAAUUAUAGACAAUCACAACGGGACCAAACUAAUAGCACAUUUUUCAUGUCUUUACGAAGCCCUGAGAUAGACUGGCAACCUCGAUAAGCUGUUAAGAAAAUGGAUGGAUGUCUUUAUUAAACACAUUAAGUUACAAGCUGUAAGUCCAAGCUGGAAAGAGUAAGUCAGCAUCUAUACCUCAGUAAUGAUUUCUCCAAAAGAUACUCCGAACGAGACAUCGAAGUUAACAAGAUUGGAUAACAGAGAUAUUAAUCCCUUUAAAUCCUUGUAAGAUAAAUGCAUGCAAAGUCACAAAGUUAAAUCACAAGUUCCCUAAAAAACAUUACAGAGACGAACAAAGCUGGAGACUACAAAACCAACAUCCACAGACGUUUCUGUUCAUCAGUCCACAGUAAGACAAACUCUCUACAAACAGCAGAAAUUCAGACCUGUUUCUAUGCUAAAAGUGCAAUCUUCACGUUUAGUUUGGGGUUAGUUUUAGUCUUGUUUUAACUACAAUAAUAGGCAUGGUAUUUAUCAGGGGAAUAUUUAUUUAAGAAGUUCAGAACUGAUAUUAAAAUAUGAAACAGAACACUCUGUAAAGACAGCGGAGUCAGAUUGAUGUAAACAUGGUAAGUGCCAAUAAACACAUUCACAAAAUCCUCUUUAGAGAGAUCCUUUUGGUAUCCAUCAAUAGGCUUCGUGUAUAAUUCCGGUUGGAUAUUUGACCGAUCUUUUUGGCAGAAUUGGCAGAGUUCAUUUAGUUGGUUGGUUUCUUGGAUUGGACCCAACUUUUAAGAUUAAUUCACAAAUUUUCAAGGACUACUUUAUGCAUCCAAAAACCAGUUUUGAUGUAUUUGGGAUCAUUUUCCUGCUGGUACAUCGAAGUCUAAACUGUCUCCCUGUUGAUUUGAAGUUGAAGAAUUUGCUGGGAGUCCUGUCACUAUGGCCAAAAAGCUUAAUUUUUGUCUCAUAUGACCCAUAAAACCUGUCUCCAGAUGGCAUUUGGUUUGUCCGUUUGUGCCGCUGCGAAUUUCAGUCAAACUUAAAGGUGUCAUUUUUUGGAGCAGGGGCUUCUUUCUUUGUAAGCAUGUUCUUAGUCCAUGGUGAUGGCAGUUUCCAGUUCUUUGCAGGCUUGAGUUUUCGUGGUUCCUGGGUUAUUCCUGAACAUCCUAACCAACUUCCUGUCACUGAGGGUGACAGUUUGGGUCUUCUUCCAGACCUUCACAAAGUGGUAACACAUCAGAAUUACUUGUACUCACUGAUUAUCUUGGAAUCUGAAGUUGUUUAGAAAUGGCUCCAAGAGACCAUUCCAACCUGUUUAAUUCUACAAUUCUCUUUCCUACAUCUUUACUGACUUCCUUGGACUUUUCCGUUGUUCUGAAUAUUAGUCAGUCCAAUGAGUGAUGUCACACAAAUCCUUUUUAUGAUGGCAAAGAAAAUCUACCAGUUGUAGUCAAUCACGAUCACUAACAAGUUGAUAGAAUUUGGCCUUGUCACAUUAAAAGACAUUACGUAACCUUCAGCAGAACUUAUUAGAAGAUUUGGGUGAGUAUGUGUGGAGGAGUAUGUAUACUUUUGGCUCUGUGUGGAUUAGAGAAAAUAGUAAUGCUGUACUAUUAUUUCACCCUGGAAAAAUUACAGUGUAAAAUCCCAGAAUUACCAUAUUAUUUGUGCCCAUGAUGAGUGAAUGUGAACUUCAGAUCUGAACCUGAACUGCCCUCACUGAGAGCUGUGGCAUGAUUAGCAGAGGGUUGCUCAGUGCUAAUAAUAGAAAUCUCCAGGAAUUGCAACAGUUUUGUAGGAGGAAUGUCAACAUGUUCCCAGGUUACAUAAGUUAAAUAAGAAAGCAUCUGAUCGAGCUUACUGCUGCUAAAGAAAGUUUUCCCAAGAGAUGUUAUUCACUAACUUCUCUAGAUCCUGAUUGCUCACUCCGUUUGUUGUAUUAGUUUAACCUGAUUGUGUUUAUAGUGGUAAUUAAAUGAAGAUUAGAUCACUUUUCUGGUUAAUCAGUUUAGAAAUACUUGUAAAGGCUCAACAAAGACAACAAAGCAUUUCAGUCAGAAAAUAAUUUGACAGCUUUUUUCUUUUUUCAGAAUAUUGAAGUUUAUUAUAAAGCAGUACAUCAGAAUAAAAAAGAAGUUGCUGUGGAGGUUCUUGUGCCUGAGCCUAAUAAUCUUCAAACGCAUCCUGAGGUUCUUUUGAAACAGGCUGAAAUUACAGAGAGUCCUAGACCACUGUCAAACACCACCCAUCCACGUCCAAGGCAGAACACACGGACGCACGCACGCGCGCGCGCACACACACACACACACAC